rnacentral:tRNA from 1 species
GGGGUUGUAUCCAAGUGGCUAAAGGAUAUUGAAUUUGUGUUUAGUUAAACGCACACAGCAACAUUCCAAUAAAGUGAUUACAAAUAAUACAACACUUCGUGAGUUCGAAUCUCACCAACCCCA